rnacentral:rRNA from 1 species
AGAGUUUGAUCCUGGCUCAGGACGAACGCUGCGGCGUGCUAAUACAUGCAAGUAGAACGCUGAAGAAAGGAGCUUGCUUCUUUUGGAUGAGUUGCGAACGGGUGAGUAACGCGUAGGUAACCUGCCUUGUAGCGGGGGAUAACUAUUGGAAACGAUAGCUAAUACCGCAUAACAGCUUUUGACACAUGUUAGAAGCUUGAAAGAUGCAAUUGCAUCACUACGAGAUGGACCUGCGUUGUAUUAGCUAGUAGGUAGGGUAACGGCCUACCUAGGCGACGAUACAUAGCCGACCUGAGAGGGUGAUCGGCCACACUGGGACUGAGACACGGCCCAGACUCCUACGGGAGGCAGCAGUAGGGAAUCUUCGGCAAUGGGGGCAACCCUGACCGAGCAACGCCGCGUGAGUGAAGAAGGUUUUCGGAUCGUAAAGCUCUGUUGUAAGAGAAGAACGUGUGUGAGAGUGGAAAGUUCACACAGUGACGGUAACUUACCAGAAAGGGACGGCUAACUACGUGCCAGCAGCCGCGGUAAUACGUAGGUCCCGAGCGUUGUCCGGAUUUAUUGGGCGUAAAGCGAGCGCAGGCGGUUUAAUAAGUCUGAAGUUAAAGGCAGUGGCUUAACCAUUGUUCGCUUUGGAAACUGUUAAACUUGAGUGCAGAAGGGGAGAGUGGAAUUCCAUGUGUAGCGGUGAAAUGCGUAGAUAUAUGGAGGAACACCGGUGGCGAAAGCGGCUCUCUGGUCUGUAACUGACGCUGAGGCUCGAAAGCGUGGGGAGCAAACAGGAUUAGAUACCCUGGUAGUCCACGCCGUAAACGAUGAGUGCUAGGUGUUAGGCCCUUUCCGGGGCUUAGUGCCGCAGCUAACGCAUUAAGCACUCCGCCUGGGGAGUACGACCGCAAGGUUGAAACUCAAAGGAAUUGACGG